AUCCACACCAGAAAGACUGUACAAGUGCAGUUACUGUGAGAAGCAGAGCGACACAGAUGGAUCAAGUUCUCAACCCUGUCAUCGCUGUGGGAAAGACUUUUGUUGUGACCUUUGUGGAAAAACUUUAAGUCAUUGAAGGACUCUGAAAAUACAUCAACGUAGACACACUGGAGACAAAAUGAACUACUGUAAAGAAUGCGGGAGAGGCUUCACCACUUCAAAGGACUUCAAACAAUAUGAACUCCUUCACCGUGGCGUUAAAAAGCAUGUCUGCGAUCAGUGUGGGUCAUCCUUCAUCAGUGCACGUCAGCUUGAAAAGCAUAAACGAGUCCACACAUGAGAGAAACCAUACAAGUGCAGACACUGUGACAAAACCUUUUCACAAUCAUGUGAUCAUACUAAGCAUGAACGCAGACACAUGAAAGAGAACUUCAUCUGUGAAAGAGUUUGAGUAAUCUCAGUUCAUACUCCACUCAGAAACGAUUCCAUGUUACAAAUAAACUGUUACGUCUUGAUUCCUGCUUUUACGUUAAUCUUGUAAACAGUACAUUUGCAUAACGACUGAAACCGGCCAAUGAAUGAACAAUGGGCUGUGAGGUCAAUUUCUUCAUCAUUAAUAUGCAAAUUCUUAUGAGCAUUGAUCAACAACCACGGGUCAAUGGCCAUGAGUACCAUUCACAGAGUAAAAAUUUGCAUAAUGAUUAUGAAGUUUACUGUUACCAAUGUUCAAAAACAUUUACUAAGUUAUCUUAGCGUGAUGCAGGACUGAAAUCAUUGCCAUCUCUGGAUCACAGUGAAUCUGCAGAGACAGAAAGAUCCUCUUCUGGUUUCAGGGUCAGACUUAAACCCUUGAGAUCAGGCUCCACAGAGUUCAGGUGGAGUCUUCUGUAAAGAUCUGAUGAGGCACCUGUCAUGGUUCGUAUUUGAGGUAAGAGACAAACGACUACAGUCCAAGUGGGUCAAAACAAUGAUUUUAUUACACACACGUGUGUGGGGAAGAUGAGCUCUGCAAAACAUCAGCCUCAAUCUCCCCAGAACAAUAAGCGAGCAGUCAAAUAUAUAACAUAGUUGAUGACAAGCAUCAUGCGUCAAAGCAGAUAGAUAACAUGCAACCGUUCCAGUCGUCCCAACCUUGGACACCCUAACCCUAAACAACAACAGCUCCUUCCUCUGCUCCUCCACCAAAUGCUUGCUGUUACUUUACUUCACUUAUCGCUGGAAUUAAACAACAAAACAAGUCUACAUACUGUGUGUGUGUGUGUGUGUGUGCAGACAAACAUCUGUUCCCAAGCAAACUCCAAUGCAGCAGGCUGCUGAAUACACACAGGCCUCUAUUCAGUUUCUAGAUUAUAUGUGGUGUAUUAUAUUGUAAGCAUGUAUGCAAUUCUUUCAUAGGUAUGGGUCACUUUAACUUUGCUCAAUAGAUUGGCCAGACAUCGCGCUGCCCGAAGCUUCAGACCAUUAAUUAACUUGCCCGAGCUUCAACUCUUUAAUUAGCACAAAAUGCACUGUGUAUAACAUGAAUACAGUUGCACCUGCAAUGAAGGAUUAUUAUGUGAUUAUAAUACCACCUGAAAUACAGACUUUAAUGUAAUAUCCGUAAAAUGAUAAAAUGA